rnacentral:rRNA from 1 species
GUGGGGAAUCUUGCGCAAUGGGCGAAAGCCUGACGCAGCCAUGCCGCGUGAAUGAUGAAGGUCUUAGGAUUGUAAAAUUCUUUCACCGGGGACGAUAAUGACGGUACCCGGAGAAGAAGCCCCGGCUAACUUCGUGCCAGCAGCCGCGGUAAUACGAAGGGGGCUAGCGUUGCUCGGAAUUACUGGGCGUAAAGGGCGCGUAGGCGGACAGUUUAGUCAGAGGUGAAAGCCCUGGGCUUAACCUUGGAAUUGCCAUUGAUAAUGGCUGUCUUGAGUACGGGAGAGGUGAGUGGAAAUCCGAGUGUAGAGGUGAAAUUCGUAGAUAUUCGGAAGAACACCAGUGGCGAAGGCGACUCACUGGCCCGUUACUGACGCUGAGGCGCGAAAGCGUGGGGAGCAAACAGGAUUAGAAACCCCUGUAGUCC